rnacentral:rRNA from 2 species
GGGACACGUGGUAUCCUGUCUGAAUAUGGGGGGACCAUCCUCCAAGGCUAAAUACUCCUGACUGACCGAUAGUGAACCAGUACCGUGAGGGAAAGGCGAAAAGAACCCCGGCGAGGGGAGUGAAAAAGAACCUGAAACCGUGUACGUACAAGCAGUGGGAGCACGCUUAGGCGUGUGACUGCGUACCUUUUGUAUAAUGGGUCAGCGACUUAUAUUCUGUAGCAAGGUUAACCGAAUAGGGGAGCCGAAGGGAAACCGAGUCUUAACUGGGCGUUAAGUUGCAGGGUAUAGACCCGAAACCCGGUGAUCUAGCCAUGGGCAGGUUGAAGGUUGGGUAACACUAACUGGAGGACCGAACCGACUAAUGUUGAAAAAUUAGCGGAUGACUUGUGGCUGGGGGUGAAAGGCCAAUCAAACCGGGAGAUAGCUGGUUCUCCCCGAAA